rnacentral:rRNA from 1 species
AACGAACGCUGGCGGCAUGCCUAACACAUGCAAGUCGAACGAGACCUUCGGGUCUAGUGGCGCACGGGUGCGUAACGCGUGGGAACCUGCCCUUAGGUUCGGAAUAACUCCCCGAAAGGGGUGCUAAUACCGGGUAAUGUCUUCGGACCAAAGAUUUAUCGCCUUUGGAUGGGCCCGCGUUGGAUUAGCUAGUUGGUAGGGUAAAAGCCUACCAAGGCGACGAUCCAUAGCUGGUCUGAGAGGAUGAUCAGCCACACUGGGACUGAGACACGGCCCAGACUCCUACGGGAGGCAGCAGUGGGGAAUAUUGGACAAUGGGCGAAAGCCUGAUCCAGCAAUGCCGCGUGAGUGAUGAAGGCCUUAGGGUUGUAAAGCUCUUUUACCCGGGAUGAUAAUGGCAGUACCGGGAGAAUAAGCUCCGGCUAACUCCGUG